rnacentral:tRNA from 1 species
CUGCGGUUGUCUCAGUGGUAGAGUGCUCGCCUAGCACAUGUGAGACACUGGGUUCAAUCCUCAGCAUCACAUA